rnacentral:rRNA from 1 species
UACGUAGGUGGCAAGCGUUGUCCGGAUUUAUUGGGUUUAAAGGGUGCGUAGGUGGCCCUGUAAGUCAGUGGUGAAAUAUCUCAGCUUAACUGAGAGAGUGCCAUUGAUACUGCAGGGCUUGAGUACAGAUGAGGUAGGCGGAAUUGACGGUGUAGCGGUGAAAUGCAUAGAUAUCGUCAAGAACACCGAUAGCGAAGGCAGCUUACCAAGCUGUAACUGACACUGAGGCACGAAAGUGUGGGGAUCAAACAGG